UUUAAAGAGUGCGUAAUAGCUCACUAGUCUAGUUUUUUGGCGCCGCAAGUACAACGGGGCUAAGCUUAAUACCGAAUUUUUGGAUUUAAGAUUUAAUAAUUUUAAGUGGUAGACAAAUGUUGUAUAAGGGUUGAAGUUUGAACGAGAGUAUAAAUGGACUUUAUACAAGUAAGAAUUCCGGCGUAAGUAACGAAUGAAAGUGAGAAUCUUUCUAGCCGAUUGAUCAAGGUUUCCGGGGCUAGGUUCGUCCUCCUCGGGUUAGUCGAUCCUAAGGUGAGGCCGAAAGGCGUAGCCGAUGGACAACAGGUUAAUAUUCCUGUACUACCUUAGAUUGUCAACGGGCGGACAAAAGAGGUUAAAGUAAAAGGAUUAUUGGAUUUCCUUCUAAGUUUCGAAGCAAGUCGAGGCUGAAAAUCACCCCGACAUUAAUUGCAAGAAACGAAUGCUAUUUUUGGUAGGGAUAUCAGGAAGAAUUACUACCAAUCUCUUUUCGCGAAAAAACUCUAGACUUAAAUCUAAGGUAUUCGUACCGAAACCGAACACACGUGAUCAAGGAGAAUAUCCUAAGGCUAGCGAGCUAACUACAGUUAAGGAACUCUGCAAAUUAACUCUGUAACUUAGGGAGAAAGAGUGCCCCAGAAGGAAUCUGGGGCCACAGUAAAGAACGAGGGCGAACUGUUUAACAAAAACACAGCUAUAUGCAAAAUUCGAAUAUGAAGUAUAUG
rnacentral:rRNA from 1 species